UACAGAGGUCUCAAGCGUUGUUCGGAUUCACUGGGCGUAAAGGGUGCGUAGGCGGUCAGAUAAGUCUGAUGUGAAAUCUCUGGGCUUAACCCAGAAAUGGCAUUGGAUACUAUUUGGCUUGAGAGUUGGAGGGGGGACUGGAAUUCUUGGUGUAGCAGUGAAAUGCGUAGAUAUCAAGAGGAACACCAGUGGCGAAGGCGAGUCCCUGGACAACUUCUGACGCUGAGGCACGAAAGCUAGGGGAGCAAACAGG
rnacentral:rRNA from 1 species